ACGGCUCAGUAACACGUGGACAACUUACCCUUGGGACCGGGAUAACCCCUGGGAAACUGGGGCUAAUACCGGAUAGAGCAUCGGUUGCUGGAAUGCACGAUGGUCUAAAGCUGAGGCGCCCAAGGAUAGGUCUGCGGCCGAUUAGGUUGUUGUUGAUGUGACGGAUCAACAAGCCUACGAUCGGUACGGGUUGUGAGAGCAAUAGCCCGGAGAUGGGUUCUGAGAGAAGAACCCAGGUCCUACGGGACGCAUCAGGCGCGAAAACUUUACAAUGUGCGAAAGCACGAUAAGGGAACUCUGAGUGCCUCCUAAGGAGGCUGUUCGGGUGUCUAAAAAGCAUCCGAAGGAAGGGCUGGGUAAGACCGGUGCCAGCCGCCGCGGUAACACCGGCAGCCCAAGUGGUAGCCACGCUUAUUGGGUCUAAAGCGUCCGUAGCCGGCCAAGUAAGUUCUUUGGGAAAUUUGACCGCUUAACGGUCAAGCUAUCAGGGAAUACUGCUUGGCUUGGGACCGGGAGAGGUCAGAGGUACUCCAAGGGUAGGGGUGAAAUCCGUUAAUCCUUGGGGGACCACCGGUAGCGAAGGCGUCUGACCAGACCGGGUCCGACGGUGAGGGACGAAGGCUAGGGUCGCGAACCGGAUUAGAUACCCGGGUAGUCCUAGCUGUAAACGAUGCGGGCCAGGUGUUGGCAUUACUGCGAGUGAUGCCAGUGCCGAAGGGAAGCCGUUAAGCCCGCCAUCUGGGGAGUACGGUCGCAAGGCUGAAACUUAAAGGAAUUGGCGGGGGAGCACCACAACGGGUGGAGCUUGCGGUUCAAUUGGAUUCAACGCCGGG
rnacentral:rRNA from 1 species